CUGGUGGCGAGUGCGAACGGGUGAGUAAUACAUCGGAACGUACCCAGAAGUGGGGGAUAACGUAGCGAAAGUUACGCUAAUACCGCAUACGUUCUACGGAAGAAAGUGGGGGAUCGCAAGACCUCAUGCUUUUGGAGCGGCCGAUGUCUGAUUAGCUAGUUGGUGAGGUAAAGGCUCACCAAGGCGACGAUCAGUAGCUGGUCUGAGAGGACGACCAGCCACACUGGAACUGAGACACGGUCCAGACUCCUACGGGAGGCAGCAGUGGGGAAUUUUGGACAAUGGGCGCAAGCCUGAUCCAGCAAUGCCGCGUGAGUGAGGAAGGCCUUCGGGUUGUAAAGCUCUUUUGUCAGGGAAGAAACGGCAGGGGCUAAUAUCCUUUGCUAAUGACGGUACCUGAAGAAUAAGCACCGGCUA
rnacentral:rRNA from 1 species